rnacentral:tRNA from 1 species
GCCUGGGUGGCUCAGGCAGUUAAGGGUCUGACUUCAGCUCAGAUCAUGAUCUCACGGUUCGUGGGUUCCAGUCCCACAUCAGGCU